GCUGCCACCACCUGGCGCUUACUGGGCAGGGCCAACGGCCGGAUGGUCCGGCUGGGCUUCACUUUCCCGUCCAGCUACGAGUGACAGGAAGGGGCAGGCUUCCUGGUAGUGCAGCAGAGCUGGGAGACAGAUGGGCUCCACAGCGCCUCCUGUGAGCACCUGGAUCAAGCCGCACCUGAAGCCAGGCCUCCUCCUAGACUUUGCAGUUACACAAGCCGGCAGAUCCCUUUUUGUUACUUUGACCAUCUUGAUCUGGGCUCUGUAUGACGGACCAGUCCUGAGGUAGGGCAACUCCAUGAUGGGUCAUUUAGCGGCUUCCUGAUCCCCGGGGACUGUGGCUCAGCCGUGAAAGGAGCCAGGCUCUGACCCAGGCUGCGGUGUGGAAGGAGCUGGCCCUGCCAGUGCCUCUUGCAAGGAGUAAACCUUCUCCAGGAGUCCCACAGCCGCAGGUCACUUAAACCUGCCUAAGUCGUCACCGGGAGGGGACGGGGGUCCCACAAUGGGCCUAAAUCUCCCAGAGCCCACCCCCUGCAGAGAAUGGGCGCCGUCGGAUGGAUUCCCCGGACCCCUGGGGUGGGCAGGGCAGGGUACUCACCGCUGGGCCAGGCAGUGGGCAGCCGUCAGCACCCACUUUGGGUGCACCAGGACACCCCCGCACAGGUGGGAGCCAUUUCUCUGCAGUGAGGCCAUGUACGGGCGCGAGUGGGGGAUCACCUCCCGGCCCCCGAUGAUCUGGGUCCCAAAGGAGCUGCCUGCCAGGAUGGGGGACAAAGAGCCAGGUUGGGGCUACAUGCCCCUGCUGCCUGCUGCGACUGUCCUUGCCCAGCUCAGAGGCCCAGGACCCCAAGCAGAUGUGCCAUCCUAAUGAAGUCCCCAGUGUUCCCCGAAACUUUUAGGCUGAUACGUGUGGGCUGCCCUUCAUCCCUCCCAUCCCCCUCUCAUCACCCCCAUCAUGUUCCCCCCAGGCCACCUCCCAAUCCCCUCUCCAGGACCUCCCCAGGCCCCACUGGGCCCCACAGCCACAGGAGUCCUUCAAAACGCACAUCAGGCCGGAUGUGGGUGGCUCACCCCUGUGAUCCCAGCACUUCGGGAGGCUGAGGAGGGAGGAUCACUUGAGGCCAGGAGUUCGAGACCAGCCUGGGCGACACAGCAAGACCCAGUCUCUUAAAAAAAACUUUUUUUUUCUUUUUUUUUGAGACAGAGUCUCGCUCUGUCACCCAGGCUGGAGUGCAAUGGCACGAUCUCGGCUCACUGCAAGCUCCGCCUCCUGGGUUCAUGCCAUUCUCCUGACUCAGUCUCCCGAGUAGCUGGGACUACAGGCACCUGCCACCACGCCUGGAUAAUUUUUGUAUUUUUAGUACAGAUGGGGUUUCACCAUGUUAGCCAGGCUGGUCUCGAACUCCUGACCUUGUGAUCCACCCAUCUCAGCCUCCCAAAGUGCUGGGAUUACAGGUAUGAGCCACUGCACCUGGCCAUUUUUUUUUUUUUUUUGAGAUGGAGUCUCACUCUGUUACCCAGCCUGGAAUGCAGUGCCGUGAUCUCAGCUCACUGCAACCUCUGCCUCCUGGGUUCAAGCGAUUCUCCUGCCUCAGCCUCCCGAGUAGCUGGGAUUACAGAAGCGCAUCACCACGUCCGGCUAAUUUUUUUGUAUUUUUAGUAGCGAC
rnacentral:lncRNA from 10 species